CCGCCGCCCGGCCCACCCAGCACCCGGACCCCGCGGCGAGCUCUGUGCCGCCCCGGCCUCUUCAGUGUCAUCUCGCCUGCCCGGAGGCUCACUGCUGUCCUUUCCUCUGGACUCGCGUCCGCCUCCCUUGUUCCCCACGCCCGCUGCGGCCCGUGUCUCGGGCCAGGGUCUCCCAGGCCCCGGGUCUCUCCGUCCGUCGGGCAGUCCGCGUCUACGCCUCCGUCUCCGUCUCUCUGCUUCUGCCUAGCCCGGCGGCGUUCACUUUGCAGUCGAGUGACCUCUGCGUGGCACUGGCCGCUGCGGGGGCGCCCGUUUCCCCCUCUGCAGGAUGGGGUUGAUCGUCGUCCGGCCCCAGGCGGUGUUUGCAAGCUCACCAAGUUGGGUUUGGAAAGCAGAAGGCGCUUUGUAAAGAGGAGGAGGCACCGUGGCCCAGGAAGAGGAAGGAAAAGGACUUGCCAGCAUCACCCAAGAAGCCGAUCACCAAGCCACCUGCUCCUAACCCACCGCCAAGUCCUGGCUCUCCCUUCCUUGGGCAGCCGGCAGCUCUGGCCUCGUGGAGUGUCCUCAGAACUGAAGAUAGGUGAGAACUCCCAGUCUUUCCCUGGCAGCUCACUGGAUGAAAGUUCAAACAUCUGA
rnacentral:lncRNA from 1 species